rnacentral:piRNA from 1 species
UUUCUCUUGCUGUUCCGCUCUGGGC